GAUGAAGAACGUAGCGAAAUGCGAUAAGUAGUGUGAAUUGCAGAAUUCAGUGAAUCAUCGAAUCUUUGAACGCACAUUGCGCCCUAUAGUAUUCUGUAGGGCAUGCAUGUUCGAGCGUCAUUUGUACCUUCAAGCUUUGCUUGGUGUUGGGUGUUUGUCCUCUCCCUGGUGUUUGGACUCGCCUUAAAACAAUUGGCAGCCAGUGUUUUGGUAUUGAAGCGCAGCACAAUUUGCGAUUCUGGCCUUAAAAUACUAGCGUCCAUAAGUACAUUCUCACUUUUGACCUCGGAUCAUGUAGGGAUACCCGCUGAACUUAAGCAUAUCGAUAAGCGGAGGA
rnacentral:misc_RNA from 1 species